GACAGAGGAGCCAAGCGUUGUCCGGAGUGACUGGGCGUAAAGCGCACGCAGGCGGUUCGGUGCGUGGGGGUGUGAAAGCUCUCGGCUCAACUGAGAGAGGCCACCUCAUACGGCCGGGCUGGAGCCCGUGAGAGGUCCACGGAAUUGCCGGUGUAGUGGUGAAAUGCGUAGAGAUCUGGAGGAACACCGAUGGCGAAGGCAGCCUUCUGGGCCAACACUGACGCUCAUGCACGAAAGCUAGGGGGAGCAAACAGG
rnacentral:rRNA from 1 species